rnacentral:rRNA from 1 species
UACGUAGGGGGCAAGCGUUGUCCGGAUUUACUGGGCGUAAAGAGCGUGUAGGCGGCCACGCAGGUCCGUUGUGAAAACUGGAGGCUCAACCUCGAGACGUCGGCGAAACCAUCUGGCUAGAGUCCGGAAGAGGAGAGUGGAAUUCCUGGUGUAGCGGUGAAAUGCGUAGAUAUCGGGAGGAACACCAGUGGCGAAGGCGACUACCUGGCCUGUUCUUGACGCUGAGGCGCGAAAGCUAGGGGAGCAAACGGG